rnacentral:rRNA from 1 species
ACGUAGGGUGCAAGCGUUAAUCGGAAUUACUGGGCGUAAAGCGUGCGUAGUCGGUUAUCUAAGUCGGAUGUGAAAUCCCCGGGCUCAACCUGGGAAUUGCAUUCGAUACUGGAUAGCUAGAGUUCGGCAGAGGGAAGCGGAAUUUCGGGUGUAGCGGUGAAAUGCGUAGAUAUCCGAAGGAACAUCAGUGGCGAAAGCGGCUUCCUGGACCAGAACUGACGAUCAGGCACGAAAGCGUGGGGAGCAAACAGGAUUAGAUACCCUGGUAGUCCACGCCAUAAACGAUGACAACUAGACGUUGGGGACAUAUGGUCCACAGUGUCGCAGCUAACGCGUUAAGUUGUCCGCCUGGGGAGUACGGCCGCAAGGUUG